rnacentral:rRNA from 1 species
CACCGGCAGCUCGAGUGGUAGCUGUUUUUAUUGGGCCUAAAGCGUUCGUAGCCGGUUUGAUAAGUCUUUGGUGAAAGCUUGUAGCUUAACUAUAGGAAUUGCUGGAGAUACUAUCAGACUUGAAGUCGGGAGAGGUUAGAGGUACUACCGGGGUAGGGGUGAAAUCCUAUAAUCCUGGGAGGACCACCUGUGGCGAAGGCGUCUAACUGGAACGAUCUUGACGGUGAGUAACGAAAGCCAGGGGCGCGAACCGGAUUAGAUACCCGGGUAGUCCUGGCUGUAAACGAUGUGGACUUGGUGUUGGAAUGGCCUCGAGUUGUUCCGGUGCCGAAGGGAAGCUGUUAAGUCCACCGCCUGGGAAGUACGGUCGCAAGAUUGAAACUUAAAGGAAUUGGCGGGGGAGCACCACAACGCGUGGAGCCUGCGGUUUAAUUGGAUUCAACGCCGGA